GGUGACGGAAAAGUCCUGCUGAUAAGAUUUCCAGACGUUUUUUCAGGAAAAGCAGGCCUCCUUAUUGGGCCCUACGUUGUGAACAGGACUGACUCACCACUUCCUGCCAGUUUCCCCGUCAGCUGAUGGUCCAGCAUCCGCUCUGGAAACUCCUGCAGAAGUAUCCUGACUCCUCUGGAAAACCAGAGGAGAUCCGUCUGAAGGUCUGGUCGACCCAUUGUCAGCAUCACCUCUCUGUCCUGCAGGAUCCGAGUGCAGGAAACCCAAAAGGGAAGAAGAUCUGACAGCGUUCUGCUGGAAACCACUAAACGGUUCCUUAUGCAGCCGCUCGAUGAGGAGCAGAGGAUUCUGGGAAACAAUCACACAUGGAACGUCGUGACCUCAGAAGAACCGAUCGGCGCCGUCCGGCGUGACGGCGUUCCAACAGCAGCAUCCAAACAUUUAAAACAGCCACGGUUUAUAUCAGACUUCAAGACAAACCAGAAGAUUAUGCAGAUCGGACCAGAUCUGAUUAGACUAGAUACGUUUAGAUCAGAUCAGUUUAAUCUAGAUCAGAUCAGGUUAAAUCAGAUCAGUUUGGUCUCAAUCAGAUCAUCUUAGUCUAAAUCAGAUCAGAUUAGUCUAGAUCAGAUUAGAUUGGUCCAGAUCAAGUUAGAUCAGAUCAGAUUGGUCUUAAUCAGAUCAGAUUACUCUAAAUCAGAUUAGAUUGGACUAGAUUAUAAUAGUCUAGAUCAUAUCAGUUCAGUUUAGAUAAGAUCAUAUUAGUGUAGAUCAGAUCAGGCCAGGUGAGAUCAGAUCAGAUUGGUCUAAAACAGAUAAGAUUACUCUAGAUCAAAUCAGAUUAGGUGAGAUCAGAUUAAUCUAGAUUAGUUUAGAUCAAAUCAGAUUAGAUCAGAUCAGAUAUAUCAAGAUUAAAUCAGAUCUGAUUGGACUAGAUACAAUCAGAUUAAUCUAGAUCAAAUUAAAAUAUAUCUUUUUAGAUCAGAUUAGAUUAGUCUAGAUCAGUUCAGAUUGGACCAGAAAAAUUCAAAUCAGGUUCAUCUAGAUCAGAUCAGAUUUGACUGGAUCAGAUUAGAUUAGGUGGGAUCAGAUUAAUCUAGAGUAGAUCAGAUCAGAUUAGUCUACAUCAAAUCAGAUUAGUCUAGAUCAGAUCAGAUUGGACUAAAUCAAAUCAAAUUAGAUUAGAUCAGAUCAGAUCAGAUCACACUGGACUAGAUCAGAUCAGAUUAGUCCAGAUCAGAUCAGAUCUGUUUGUGUUUCUUCACAGCUUGGUCUUCGGUCCUUCUGAUCUCCAGCAGGUUGGAACAGAUUUGUGGUGAAGUUUUCUUAACUUCUGGAUUCCACAUGUGUGAUUCGGCGGUGAGAAGAUGUGAGAACGACGUUUGUUACACAACGACGAUGAUCAUCAGAACAUGCUGGCCUGCUGGGAACUGGGUGUGGACAGAAGACACUUUCAUGCAGACGUUGCACAACAAACAUUUAGCAGAAGUUCAUCUUUGUGCAGAUUCCACCCACCAGCUCCUUCAGACCCCCGGGGGGAAGAAUUCCUCACAUGUUUAAUGAUUCUACCAUCUCUGCAGACGCGUCUGCAGGGUGGUGCAGAUACGUCUACUCAUGCGCAGUGAUGUGGGGGUGGGCGGGUCUUAAACCUCGUCAGCUGUGUGAUAAUAAAACCCUUUGAACAACAGUAACAUUCUUCUUUCUCUCUGAGACUUUGAACAACAUUUUGAGCCCAACAUCUACUCAGAACUCAGCAGAGUUUGAACACGAGAACUCGA